UGGAGGACCGAACCGACUAAUGUUGAAAAAUUAGCGGAUGACCUGUGGCUGGGGGUGAAAGGCCAAUCAAACCGGGAGAUAGCUGGUUCUCCCCGAAAGCUAUUUAGGUAGCGCCUCGUGAAUUCAUCUCCGGGGGUAGAGCACUGUUUCGGCUAGGGGGCCAUCCCGGCUUACCAACCCGAUGCAAACUGCGAAUACCGGAGAAUGUUAUCACGGGAGACACACGGCGGGUGCUAACGUCCGUCGUGAAGAGGGAAACAACCCAGACCGCCAGCUAAGGUCCCAAAGUCAUGGUUAAGUGGGAAACGAUGUGGGAAGGCCCAGACAGCCAGGAUGUUGGCUUAGAAGCAGCCAUCAUUUAAAGAAAGCGUAAUAGCUCACUGGUCGAGUCGGCCUGCGCGGAAGAUGUAACGGGGCUAAACCAUGCACCGAAGCUGCGGCAGCGACACUGUGUGUUGUUGGGUAGGGGAGCGUUCUGUAAGCCUGUGAAGGUGUGUCGUGAGGCAUGCUGGAGGUAUCAGAAGUGCGAAUGCUGACAUAAGUAACGAUAAAGCGGGUGAAAAGCCCGCUCGCCGGAAGACCAAGGGUUCCUGUCCAACGUUAAUCGGGGCAGGGUGAGUCGACCCCUAAGGCGAGGCCGAAAGGCGUAGUCGAUGGGAAACGGGUUAAUAUUCCCGUACUUGGUGUUACUGCGAAGGGGGGACGGAGAAGGCUAUGUUGGCCGGGCGACGGUU
rnacentral:rRNA from 1 species